AGUGAACGCUGGCGGUAGGCCUAACACAUGCAAGUCGAACGGCAGCACAGUAAGAGCUUGCUCUUACGGGUGGCGAGUGGCGUACGGGUGAGGAAUACAUCGGAAUCUACUUUUUCGUGGGGGAUAACGUAGGGCAACUUACGCUAAUACCGCAUACGACCUACGGGUGAAAGCAGGGGAUCUUCGGACCUUGCGCGAUUGAAUGAGCCGAUGUCGGAUUAGCUAGUUGGCGGGGUAAGGGCCCACCAAGGCGACGAUCCGUAGCUGGUCUGAGAGGGUGAUCAGCCACACUGGAACUGAGGCACGGUCCAGACUCCUACGGGAGGCAGCAGUGGGGAAUAUUGGACAAGGGGCGAAAGUCGGAUCCAGCAAGGCCGCGUGAGUGAGGAAGGCCUUGGGGUUGUAAAGCCCUUUUGUUGGGAAAGAAAAGCAGCAGGGUAAUACCCCGCUGUCCUGACGGUACCAAAAGAAUAAGCACCGGCUAACUACGUG
rnacentral:rRNA from 1 species